CACGUAGGGGACGAGCGUUGUCCGGAAUCAUUGGGCGUAAAGUGCGUGUAGGCGGCUUUGCAAGUCGGAUGUGAAAGCCCACGGCUCAACCGUGGAAGUGCAUCCGAAACUGCAUGGCUGGAGUCUCGGAGAGGAAGGUGGAAUGCUUGGUGUAGAGGUGAAAUUCGUAGAUAUCAAGCAGAACACCUGCGGCGAAGGCGGCCUUCUGGACGAUGACUGACGCUGAGACGCGAAAGCGUGGGGAGCAAACAGG
rnacentral:rRNA from 1 species